rnacentral:rRNA from 1 species
CCUGAGCCAGGAUCAAUAGGACACGAAGUGGUUGAUGCCAUGCUUCCAAGAAAAGCUUCUAAGCUUCAGGUAACCAGGAACCGUACCCCAAACCGACACAGGUGGUUGGGUAGAGAAUACCAAGGCGCUUGAGAGAACUCGGGUGAAGGAACUAGGCAAAAUGGCACCGUAACUUCGGGAGAAGGUGCGCCGGUGAGGGUGAAGCAUUUACUGCGUAAGCCCACGCCGGUCGAAGAUACCAGGCCGCUGCGACUGUUUAUUAAAAACACAGCACUCUGCAAACACGAAAGUGGACGUAUAGGGUGUGACGCCUGCCCGGUGCCGGAAGGUUAAUUGAUGGGGUUAGCUAACGCGAAGCUCUUGAUCGAAGCCCCGGUAAACGGCGGCCGUAACGAUAACGGUCCUAAGGUAGCGAAAUUCCUUGUCGGGUAAGUUCCGACCUGCACGAAUGGCGUAACGAUGGCGGCGCUGUCUCCACCCGAGACUCAGUGAAAUUGAAAUCGCUGUGAAGAUGCAGUGUAUCCGCGGCUAGACGGAAAGACCCCGUGAACCUUUACUAUAGCUUUGCACUGGACUUUGAAUUUGCUUGUGUAGGAUAGGUGGGAGGCUUUGAAGCGUGGACGCCAGUCUGCGUGGAGCCAACCUUGAAAUACCACCCUGGCAACUUUGAGGUUCUAACUCAGGUCCGUUAUCCGGAUCGAGGACAGUGUAUGGUGGGUAGUUUGACUGGGGCGGUCUCCUCCUAAAGAGUAACGGAGGAGUACGAAGGUGCGCUCAGACCGGUCGGAAAUCGGUCGUAGAGUAUAAAGGCAAAAGCGCGCUUGACUGCGAGACAGACACGUCGAGCAGGUACGAAAGUAGGUCUUAGUGAUCCGGUGGUUCUGUAUGGAAGGGCCAUCGCUCAACGGAUAAAAGGUACUCCGCGGAUAACAGGCUGAUACCGCCCAAGAGUUCAUAUCGACGGCGGUGUUUGGCACCUCGAUGUCGGCUCAUCACAUCCUGGGGCUGAAGCCGGUCCCAAGGGUAUGGCUGUUCGCCAUUUAAAGUGGUACGCGAGCUGGGUUUAGAACGUCGUGAGACAGUUCGGUCCCUAUCUGCCGUGGACGUUUGAGAUUUGAGAGGGGCUGCUCCUAGUGCGAGAGGACCGGAGUGGACGAACCUCUGGUGUUCCGGUUGUCACGCCAGUGGCAUUGCCGGGUAGCUAUGUUCGGAAUAGAUAACCGCUGAAAGCAUCUAAGCGGGAAACUAGCCUCAAGAUGAGAUCUCACUUGAACCUUGAGUUCCCUGAAGGGCCGUCGAAGACUACGACGUUGAUAGGUGGGGUGUGUAAGCGCUGUGAGGCGUUGAGCUAACCCAUACUAAUUGCCCGUGAGGCUUGAUC